rnacentral:lncRNA from 1 species
AAACAUCGGAUAUACAAAGGUUCUCAAUCCUUCAUACAUCCAGCCUGUGCCGAAAGGUAGGGCGAGAACCAUUACAAAAAUUUAAAACUAGUCUAGGCUAGUCUAUACCGAGCUCUCGUCUUGGCUCGCCGUCCCCUGUUAAGGAAAACAAAACUAAAGGAAUGAGCUAAAAGCUCAGUGAGGUUCCGAACACAUAAUCAAAUAAUCAAUCCAAUACAUUAAACAUAGAGUAUCAAUAGUUCAAGAAAUAUUUACAAUGGAAAGCGAUAAUAACACAUUCAUUAAAAGGAUACGGGCUCACAAGGAGCCAUUCGUUCGUUCGUUCGUUCAUUCUCCUGUCAUUCCCCUUAUUUCUCCAAUUAUUUGAAAAUGCAUUUUUGUAAGUAAAACCCUCGUUUGCAUUGACAUUCGUUCGUUCAUUUCAUUCACCCCUUCCUGGACGUUGGCCAGGCUCCACCCGACAACAAGGUAAUACUCGAGUAUACCAAACGUUCACACCCAGGGUCACCAUAUCGCCCGACCGAGUCCGCUUUUGGCUCGAGUCGAUCGGUAAUGAAGGGCAGGGCCCAGUUCAGCCAAAAGGCUUACAUCAUGCGCAACUAGCAUUUCAUUAUUUAAUCAUUGAAAAUUUCACAUUCAUUUAGGUCGAGUGCGAUAAAGUGCACACUCGCCUAGAAAACUCAUUUAAAGCAAUCAUUGAAAACAUUUAACAUGUUAUCAUUCGUUCAUAACAAAUCAUAUAAUCAAGAACAAGCCACAUAGUCAAUGAAAAUAUAACAAACAAGGAACACUCACCUAUUUACGCAAAAUAACGUCCAAAAUAUCCUUCUGGAUAACACCCUCAAUCAUCAAGGAAUCCUAAUAUAAUAAAAAGAACACAUUAUGUUUCAACCAUCAAAGAUGUAAGUGAUUCAAAGAAAAUUCGAAUACGUACUAGUACAAAGUAUAAAUAUGGUUUUGGUAGUGAAAAGAGUACAUUUAAACCAAAGGACAUAAGUAAAAUAUUUGUAAAACUUAUACUCACGUGUAAAACUUUAAAAUCGCUAGUUGAGUCGAAGUGGCAAAGAAAACAUAAAUACCCUAGAUGGUUCACGUGGUAUUCGCUCUCGAGCCUUACUCAAGUGGCAAGUAUAUCGACCUAGUUCUCGAGCGUAAAUUUGGGCAGCACGCCCUUUGUAUUUACCUAUUUUCCAGCCAUUUAUGGCUUCAUUCUUUUCCUCAAUCAAACCCAAAGUCAUACACAAAAUCAUCUCAUUUCAAUAGCCAUUCCAUAGGCUCCAAGUCAUACAAGUACACAAUCAAGCUAGGAGCAUGUGCGGAAAUAAAGUUUAGCAAAAGACAGAUUUGAUGUUGUUUUGCGUAACGGACACAACCGAAGCUACGCUUAUCGAAUUGGGGUGAAAUUUAUACCAUUUCGAAGCUAAGAUAAAGUCCUACAAUUAUGUUGUUUCGCACUAACUUGAAAACGAAAAGGAAAAACCCUUAAUUGUAUAUUCAUUUGCACUUAUUGUGAGGUGAUUGGGUAGUAGGGCCAUUAUAAAGUAAUAAUUUCCAAAUAAAAGGGUAUUUUUAAGAAAAUAUAAGGAAUUUUACGGGUCCUCACAUCAUAAUGCGUUUCAAAUUUAACGUAUACUAACUCAUACUAGGAAAAUGAAUUUAAAACUGUACUUGCUUGUAAAAAUGCAAAGAAAGUUUAAUAUUUCCAAGGAAAGUAUAAAAUGUAGGCAAAGGAAUAAAAUAAUGCUGAGAAAAUGUGAAAAUUUUGGGUUCUCACAGUUUCGUUCUUUAAAUAUCAGGACAAAUUUGUUUCAUUUUGAAAGUAAGAAAUGAAAAGAAUAGUUUUACAAAAUUUGAGGGAUAAAACAGAUAAUUUUCUCAACAAUUAAUGUGCCUUCGUAGCAAAUGAUGUAAUUUCAACUUAAUAAGACGAAGAUUAUGUCAUCAUUAAGUACAAUGCAUUGCUGCUCUUUAUCAUACGUUUGUAACACCCUUAAAUGAGAUGAUCUCAUGUUUGUCAUAAAACUAUUCCAUUUAGAAUUAAAUGAGACAAAACCUUUACACCGAUAGGAUGACAAUUUUAGUGUUAGACAUGUGCAUUUCAUCAUGUCCAUGCAUGCAUAUCUUUUUCUAUGCUAGCUGACUUAUACUUUGUCAGUGUAGCUUUAUAGUAUUAAAAUGUAACUCUAAUAACUAAUGGUGUGACUUUAUAAUUGAUAAAAAUAUAUUAUCAUUUUCCUUUAAAAUGAUAGGUAAUCUUGAUCACAACUAUGAUAGUAGGUAAUAUUCCUGUCGCGCCCCACUUUUUGAUGCGUAAUGUGUGGUGUGAAGUGUGAGUGUGUAGUGUGUGUGUGUACGUGUGCAAAAUGAAAAUAAAGGCCAUGGGACUUGAUAAUGCGACGGUUUGGCCAUAUAAAGUUCAAAAAGGGUUUUUUGUAUCAAAAAUGGAGUCGCCACUUGGUAUAGAGUUAGGGUGUACCAAGUCACCCAAAAAUGAUUUUUGUUUUUGAAUGAAAAAGUAAAUAAACCCUUUUAGAGAACUUUUGGGUCUACGUAACCAAAAGAGGGAUCGGGGGUCACAUUUGACGAAGGGGAAGGCAAGGAUAAAAAUCCAAGGCACCCCUUCGUCCUAGCCAAGGCUAGUUGCGUGACUUAAACCAAUUUUCCCUAAUUUUUCUACCCAGGGUAUGUAUCGCGUGUUGGAUAUGUCUUUAUGAAUGCAAAAACCUAGACCUAGGGGGACAUGGGGGAAAUUUCUCUUCAAAGGUUGAGUGGUGCCAAUCACAUUAAUUGUGAAGCCCAAUAAUGAUCCUUUGGAGAGGUCACACGUAAUCCUAAAUGACGUAAAAAUGAGUGGAAUGCAUGCCAUGUGAAAGUGUGAGUUUGUGUGAAGUGAGAAAAAUGAUAAAAAUACGAUAUAAGUGGAGGUGUGCAAAUGUCUUUGAAUGCAAAUAUAUAUACUCCAAGUGCAAGUGGGCAAAAAUGCAUGUAUGCAAUUUAAAGAAAAGUGCGAAAGUGUCGGUGUGCAAAUGAAGAUGAAAGUACUCGUGUGCGAGUGAAGAUAAAAGUGUUCGUGUGCAAGUGAAGAUAAAAGUGUUCGUGUGCAAGUGAAAGUGAUAAAAAGGUGCAUGUGUGCAAAUGAGACAAAAGUGAAAGUGUGAUGAUAGAGUGGAUUGAGAAUGCAUGAGCCUAGGGAAUUCAUGCAUAUUGGGUACGGGGAGACCUAAAUCGUGACUCAAUUUGCCCUUUUAUAGAGAGGAUACAAGCGUGCUAAGGCUUUAGAAAAAGCCACACUCGUCUAUAUCCCAUAUUUAAGGGGACUCUCCAGGUAAAUGAACCCUAUAACUAGUAUGAGAUGCAAAAAAAUCCUAAAUUGAGGGGAAAAGGGGUUCGAGGAGCAUGCCAAAUGAUAAAACUAAGAAAAAUGCAUGACAUGUAGUGAACAUGCAAAUAUGCACUAUCGAAAGGGAAAUCCUAAGGGUCUAGCGUUGGACUAGCCCAUCUAUGAAUUCCGACUAGCGUUGGACUAGCGGAAACGUACAUUCAUCCAUCACAUUCAUUCAUGGUUAUGAAAGCAAGUAGACAUGCCAAAACACUCGUAAACACGUAGCACAUAACAUUUAGCAUGCUCGACUAGAUGCAAGGCCCUAACAAAGCAAAUUAACAUGUAACAACUAAGCAGGCAAGACACAUAAGGCAAUUAAAGCCCUAACUAUUACAUUUGCUAGCUAGGCACACGUCUUCGAUAGGUCUUCAUCGAAUGCUCCUCCAAGCCCUAUCUAUUACAAGCCAAGAGGUGUACACAUACCCCAUAAUGAAUACCUUAGACAAAGGGGGAAAGGGAAAAUGGACAAGAAAGCUCGCCAAGCCCUAUCUAUUACAAGCCAAGAGGUGUACACAUACCCCAUAAUGAAUAACUUAAAUAAAAGUAAAGUAAAUGAAAUAAACGCAAGGAAUUAAAGGGAAGCAAGUAAAGCGAAGUAGACAUGCAUAUUCACAUAACACGUUGGAUCACAUAGGAGAAAUGAAAAUCAAGGAGAUAGAGGUUACCUCCCUUGCAAUUGGGGCCCAGAUGAAAGAAAAAUGACUUCAAAACAAUAAAACGGUCAAGGUACCACUUUAUUUGGGAAAAACAAAGAAAAUAGGCAAACACAAGCUCACUUGGCCAUAAAGCCCCUAAAGUCAUGAAUUAAGUGCGAUUGAAGCGAAGCAUAGUAGUCAAUUGAAACAAACAAGCAAUGAAGUUGUAAAAUUAAAGGCUACCAAGGACCAAACUGAGGAGAUCAUUCAAUUGAUUGGGCCAUAGUAGGACAAGGGGAGACUUGGGGGAUUGAAGAGCAAUUUUCAGAAUUUAUUUCAUGCAUGCAACAUAUGCGGAAGAGAAGUUUUCUGCAAUUUUCAUGGCUGCGGCUUCCAUUUCAUCGCGCAGACCAGGUUUUCAAUCCAAAAACACAGCUUUGAUCAAAUGUUUUUCAGCCCAACAUCACAACUCUGAACUAAGUAACAAACUACCUGGUAAUCACAAUCCAAAUGACCAGAAAACUUGGGAAAAGAUCAUGCAAAACUUCUGAGAAAGAAAACAAAACUGGUUCGACAAAAAUGGUUGCAAAUUUCAGCAAAGCAUUCGAACAUGAUUCAGACACUUCAGUCCCCAAACAUGCAUACCCAACACCAAAUCAUUCCAUUCCUUCCCCCAACACAAGAUCAAACAUGACUGAAGUGCAAAACUCAACCACUAACGAAGGGAAAGGAAACGCAGCAGAGAAAAGAAAGAAAAAAAAUGUAGCAGCUUUCCCUUGCUGCAUUUUUAAACCCCAGAUUUCAGAAAAAACCAGCACAAUCCUCAGCCAAACUCUCUCAAUCCAAUGUAUAAACUUUGAGUUAAACAAACAACACACAACUUCAACAUCAACAAGUAAAGACUUAAACAGAAACUGAUGCAAAAAUCACGAAGAAACUCAUGCGUGUCUGCAAACCCCAACCACCAUUCCUUCUUCGAUAUCUCCCUCUCGGCUAAAACUCAUCUAUUGCCCAUGAAGCCUAUCAAUUUUACCCUCUUAACUCAAGUACUACAACUCUUAAACCAUGUCGUUAACAAAUAAUCUAAACCAAAAUGAAUGGGUAGAGAUGCAGCAAAAGAAAGGAUGACACUUGCAGCCAAAUUUCAGUCACGGUCUUUCUUUCCAUGAAGACCAGAUUUUGAUUCAAAUGCACAACUUUGAUUAGAUAUUCUUCAUCUCAACAUCACAACCUUAAAACCAAGCAACAAAACUUCAUGAUGAUCACCAUCCAAUGACCCGAAAUUUGGGAAAGAUAUUGUACAAAAAUUCUGGAAAAAAAACGCAGAAAAGGAAGAGCAAAGACUGCUAUAACUCUCUUAUCAACACAAGCCGAAUAUCAGAAUUUUAGUUUAGGUAUGCAUAUGAUGUACGAGCUGAGCAACAAAUCCCAGAAUUCAAUCGAAACAAAGAGUUCCAACAACAACCAAGACAAAGGCUCCAACAUCCGAACCAAACCAGACAAUAAGAAACUAAACAAGGCGUCGACAGGCCAUGCGAAUAGUCUUUUCAAAGCUAGGAACUUGCUACUGACUUUCAAUCUAUGAACAAACACCAAAUGGGUCUCCGACUUUCCCCACUGAACGUGCAAAGGUAACGACAGACAUAAAAAUGACAGCUUUGACGCUAAGAAGAUGAGCAAGGCAACGUGGGACUCACAGAUUCGUAUACACGCUUGGAAAGCUUAAGGAAUCAGCACUUAAACUUAAAGUUUAGAGGGGAGAAUGGCUUACAGUGGCCUUCUUUUGAUUGAAGGAACUGAUCUGAAAACAGCAGAAGGCGGUGGCAGCAGCUCCUCGCUUCGGUCAAAACCUCCUGGCUUGGCCCUCUCACUUUUCUUUCCGCCGUUGCUUCGCUCUUCCCUCUCUUCACCUCGCUUCUUCCGCAGCUCUCCCACUCAACCCGUCAACACCAGAACUCUCCUUGCUCUCUCUAUCUAUCCAACUCUCUGUAAUCUCUCCCUCACUUAGUUUCCAGCCGCCGUCAACUUAGCUCUUCUGAUUUUUCUUUUGCCGUUAUUUCCCCCUUGCUCUCGGCUCUCCAACUCUCAGCUGCCCAUUCUCUGUUUUUUCCUUCAGCCCCCAGCCCAGCCGAAACCUUCCUCCGUUUCUUUCUUUUCCCGUAAGCCUUUCUAUCUCUCUCCCAAAACCGAGCUCCCUCUGUUUCCUUUUUGCCUUUGCUGUUUUUUUUCCCUAUCUCCCCGACUCCCCUUCCGGCUACCCUCAAAUGCAAAACACCUUCUCCAAAACCUCCAUCCUACGGCCCCCCUUUGCUGUC